GGUCCCGUAGCUCAGUGGGUCAGAGUGUUGGUCUUAUGAGCCGAAGGCCGCGAGUUCAAGCCUCUCUGGGACCA